UAUGUCAUGCAGCCUUCAUAUGCAGCCCUAAAACCGGCCUCGUUUCCAUGGAGAUGGGGCCGCGAACGGAGGACACAUCCGAGUAUCCUUCGCAGCCUUCAGUAUCCCAGCAUGCACCGCGCGGCGGCAGUCAGAUGUUCGAAAACACGGAGCGAAAACACGCAGCAAAAAGCCCGUCCGGAGAGCGGAGAAAAACAUCCUCCAGUAUGAGGACACGGCACACUGCAGGGGCCACAGAACUGUUGGCUGACAAGAUGCUUGUGAUUCAUAAAAUGGGUCAAAUGCAGAUGACAAAGUAAAGCCAACACUGAGCUGGAGGUGCUGACCCAGACUCCUGCCAACGAUUAGGUUUUCACUCUGCAGGACAGAACUUUGAAUCAAUCAGACCUAACACCCAUUCUGCUCUUCCUCCUCCAGAAGACGAGAGACACAUCAGACUGAGUGGUCCAAGUCCACUGUCCAUGUCUCCAAUGUCCAUGUCUCCAAUGUCCAUGUCUCCAAUGUCCAUGUCUCCAAUGUCCAUGUCCAGAGUCUCUGAGGAGGAGGUCCAGAGUCUCAUAUGAUCUGAACAAGUGUGUGAGACAGAAAUGAAAACAUCUGCUCAUAAGUUUUUCUGAAUGUUUUUCAGUCUGUACUGACAUUUGAUUUAUGGUGAAAUGUGCCAUUUAUUUGGUGUCUCUUUUGAUAGUAACUAAUUACAUGUACUAUAAGAAUGUACUAUUGUACUGCAGAUAAGCUGUGGUAUUCCACAUGA